AUUGGACGCUGGCGGCAUGCCUUACACAUGCAAGUCGAACGGCAGCACGGGAGCAAUCCUGGUGGCGUGUGGCGAACGGGUGAGUAAUACAUCGGAACGUGCCCAGUUGUGGGGGAUAGCCCGGCGAAAGCCGGAUUAAUACCGCAUACGACCUACGGGUGAAAGCGGGGGAUCGCAAGACCUCGCGCAAUUGGAGCGGC
rnacentral:rRNA from 1 species